rnacentral:rRNA from 1 species
AGUCAUGGGGCCGCAAGGCACCGGCGCACGGCUCAGUAACACGCGGAUAAUCUAUCCUCUGGUGAGGGAUAACCUCGGGAAACUGAGGCUAAUACCUCAUAGACAUUCAAUUCUGGAAAGAUUGAAUGUUGAAAGCGCAAGUGCCAGAGGGUGAGUCUGCGGCCUAUCAGGUAGUAGGUGGUGUAAUGGACCACCUAGCCUAAGACGGGUACGGGCCUUGAGAGAGGGAGCCCGGAGAUGGGUUCUGAGACACGAACCCAGGCCCUACGGGGCGCAGCAGGCGCGAAACCUUCGCACUGCGCGAAAGCGCGACGAGGGGAGACCGAGUGCCUCUCCUUUUUGGGGAGGCUUUUCGCAAGCCUAAAAAGCUUGUGGAAUAAGGGCUGGGCAAGACGGGUGCCAGCCGCCGCGGUAAUACCCGCAGCUCAAGUGGUGGUCGCUUUUAUUGUGCCUAAAACGUUCGUAGUCGGCCUUGUAAAUCCCUGGGUAAAUCGGGGCGCUUAACGUUUCGAAUUCCGGGGAGACUGCAAGGCUAGGGACCGGGCGAGGUCAGAGGUACUUUCGGGGUAGGAGUGAAAUCCUGUAAUCCCGAAGGGACCACCUGUGGCGAAAGCGUCUGACUUGAACGGCUCCGACGAUGAGGAACGAAGGCUAGGGGAGCAAACCGGAUUAGAUACCCG